UUGACCCCAUUAAAUGAUAACGAUUAUCAUUACCCCACCAAAUGACAAAGGUCGUUCAUUUGGUCUCUCUCAUCAGGAGCUCAUAGCUCUUUUAUGCCCCACCUCUGGUGGGGCUUUUUUUG
rnacentral:misc_RNA from 1 species